GUAAUCAAGCAGAAUGUCAGGAAAUAUGUAUGGCAACAGAAUUUUUUGCAAUUGCGGUAAAUAUCUAUUUCGCAUCAUUAGACGGCACAUUGUGAAUACUGAAUGCUUCGAAAAUAUGAAAAGGUAUCUUUAUGAUUCAUUUUGUCAUCCAAACUUACCCAAAAAAGGACUGAGUAAAGUUCAAGUAGUCAUUUAAAAAAACGAAACAAUAUGUUUCAAAUGAAAGGCUUCAAAAAACAUGAACAAGUAUUGCACCGUUCUAACGAAUAAGUAAUGUGUUUGGGUGUCAUAAAGAAUGAACUGUCUAAUUUAAGAAACAAUUCAAUAAAAUUUAAGUAGAGAACAAGUUUUUUCGAAUAGUAGUAUUGUUCGUGAAUAGAGAAAUAUUACAAUUAUAUCGUAUACCAUCGGAAUAAUUAUCAUAAUUUAUUGCAUAAACAGUUGAUGAUGAAAAGUCAUCUUUAAAAAAAAAAAAAUACCCAAAAAGAACUAAAGCAAAAAUAUUCUAAAAAUAGAUCUGUCAGGAUAGAUUGUUGAAUUAAACUAUUUUAAAUAUUCUAGCCCAGAAAUAGCAGAGUUAAAAAUUGUCUUAAAUAAAGUCAACAGCAUCAUACCGUUGUUCAAAAGACAUAAAUCGAUUGAGGGAAAACAAAUCCGGAUUACAAACUAAAACCGAGGGAGAAACAUCAACUAUAGCAUGAAAAUAAAGGACCAACAUAAACAUCGAAGUGCAACACAAUAAUAUGCUAGGGUUGACAAGCCUAUAUGUUACUUUAUAUGUUCUAGAACAACUGUCUUAGCAGAUUUAAAGAAAUUUUAGAAGUUAUUUAUUUGCAGGAAUAUCAGAAAAUUAGAUUAACUGUUUUGGAUAGUGAUAUUUUUUACCUUUCUUAUGUUGUGUCUGAAUUUGUUCGGUUUGUGUUGUUUAUUUCAAUGAAAGUACUUUUACGAAUACAAUGUUGGAUUUAAACAGUUUUUUUUAGCUAGCUCAACCUCCAUUGUGUCCGCAAUUACAAACCAUUGUAUCUUCCUGUAUUGCAAACGUGGGCGAACAGUGUAUUUACCACAAAGUAUAAACAGUGCUUUGACUGGCGAAUAAUUUUGAUGUGAAGAAAUUAAAAUCCUAUCACUAAUACAGUCUUUUCACAAUCAUGUUCACCUUAAAACGAUUACAUGGAAAUAUGUACGUUAUAUAUUAUUAAAAAUUAUUUCUAACUUAAAAUUAAUUUUUAAACAGCAAACAAGAUGCAUGUGUUUACAACUGGGUGAUUUGAUAACGGACAAAAUCAAAGGUCCAUGCAAUUGCAGUAAUUGUGUUAUAGUUCUAAGACGUAAGAUUUUUUUUAUGUUAUAACGGAUUCGUAAUUUUACUGCCAACGUUAUGUGUAUAAUAAAGCAUCAACAAUCAAUACACUUCGUGCAUAUGCAUUUGAACCCAUGGUUAUAUGAUAUCAUGUCACUACAACCCGAACUGUAUAAAGAAGGCAGUUCAGAAGCAACAUUAAGAAUUGCAAUAUUGUUCAAUCCAUAUUUAGUAUUCUGAAACUUAUGAGACACAGUUGACCUUAGAUGUAUUUGGCAAUAUUAAAGUACGUUUUUAAUUAUCCUGCGCUAAUUCUUUUACAUCUUCGCCUUUCAAAUAUCGUCUUUAAACAUUCCCGAUGAAGGUAAAUCAUUUCAGUCUGUAAUUACAGACAAACGCUUUGGGCAAAUAAAACUAAUAUUGUUUUGUUUUCAUUUUUAAUCAUAGAAAUUUCGAAUCUUUACAAAUAGAUUGUUUAUUUUACCUUCCAGUGACAGUAUGCGAAAUGCAACUCAUAUGAAAGUUAGGUCAGCAACAUUUAAGCUCUUAAACAGAUUAAAAAUAUAAUUUUUACUUAUAAAUAACACAUUUUUUUAAUUUAACCUGAAAAUUAUCAACUCAUUAAAAAUGAGAAGUGAUAUUUUUUUUAUGAAAUCGUAAAACUACAUAAAAAUUAAAAAUGCAAAAAAGUUAUUAAUCAUGAAUUUUUUGAUUAAUUUAAAACUUUAUUGUCUACUAAAAAUUAAUCAAACAUGCAUGUAAAUUACAAGAAGACAAAUCGUAUUGAUGUGAUGUCAAUAAAAAUCUUUGUGAAGUAUAUCGAACAAAUCAUCAAUAAAUGAAAAAUUUCAAAUAUAUAAAUAUUUCUCUUUAUGUAAGUAUUUCUUUAUGAUGCAUACAUGUUGAAUAACAUCGCUGAACACUUUUUUCAGAUAAUUUUUUCAAUAUUCGUAGAGGCACGAGUUGUCAUCAAGGGGAAAGCACAUGUUUGUGUAUGGCAGCAGUUUGUAGAGACCGGAACUUAAAACUGACUUCAGAGCAAUGCAGCGCACAAUACAAAAUA
rnacentral:lncRNA from 1 species